rnacentral:rRNA from 1 species
GACGAACGCUGGCGGCGUGCCUAAUACAUGCAAGUCGAGCGGACAGAAGGGAGCUUGCUCCCGGAAGUUAGCGGCGGACGGGUGAGUAACACGUGGGCAACCUACCCUGUAGAUCGGGAUAACAUCGAGAAAUCGGUGCUAAUACCGGAUAAUCAUUUGAAGUGCAUGCUUCGAAUGUAAAAGAUGGCUCCGGCUAUCACUACGGGAUGGGCCCGCGGCGCAUUAGCUGGUUGGUAAGGUAAUGGCUUACCAAGGCAACGAUGCGUAGCCGACCUGAGAGGGUGAUCGGCCACACUGGGACUGAGACACGGCCCAGACUCCUACGGGAGGCAGCAGUAGGGAAUCUUCCGCAAUGGACGAAAGUCUGACGGAGCAACGCCGCGUGAGUGAUGAAGGUUUUCGGAUCGUAAAGCUCUGUUGUUAGGGAAGAACAAGUGCCGUUUGAAUAAGGCGGCACCUUGACGGUACCUAACCAGAAAGCCACGGCUAACUACGUGCCAGCCGCCGCAGUAAAAC